UACAGAGGUCUCAAGCGUUGUUCGGAUUCAUUGGGCGUGAAGGGUGCGUAGGCGGCGCGGUAAGUCGGGUGUGAAAUCUCGGAGCUUAACUCCGAAACUGCAUUCGAUACUGCCGUGCUUGAGGACUGGAGAGGAGACUGGAAUUUACGGUGUAGCGGUGAAAUGCGUAGAUAUCGUAAGGAAGACCAGUGGCGAAGGCGGGUCUCUGGACAGUUCCUGACGCUGAGGCACGAAGGUCAGGGGAGCAAACGGG
rnacentral:rRNA from 1 species